rnacentral:rRNA from 1 species
CCUACGGGAGGCAGCAGUGGGGAAUAUUGCACAAUGGGGGGAACCCUGAUGCAGCGACGCCGCGUGGGUGAGGAAGUACUUCGGUAUGUACAGCCCUAUCAGCAGGGAAGAAAAUGACGGUACCUGACUCAGAAGCCCCGGCUAACUACGUGCCAGCAGCCGCGGUCAUACGUAGGGGGCAAGCGUUAUCCGGAUUUACUGGGUGUAAAGGGGGCGUAGACGGCGUGCCAAGUCUGAUGUGAAAGGCCGGGGCUCAACCCCGGGACUGCAUUGGAAACUGGCAUGCUGGAGUGCCGGAGGGGCAAGCGGAAUUCCUAGUGUAGCGGUGAAAUGCGUAGAUAUUAGGAGGAACACCGGUGGCGAAGGCGGCUUGCUGGACGGUAACUGACGUUGAGGCUCGAAAGCGUGGGGAGCAAACAGGAUUAGAUACCCUAGUAGUC